rnacentral:rRNA from 1 species
GACGAACGCUGGCGGCGUGCCUAAUACAUGCAAGUCGAGCGGAAUGAUGAAGAAGCUUGCUUCUUCUGAUUUUAGCGGCGGACGGGUGAGUAACACGUGGGCAACCUACCUUGUAGAUUGGGAUAACUCCGGGAAACCGGGGCUAAUACCGAAUAAUCCAUUUUGCUUCAUGGCGAGAUGUUGAAAGACGGUUUCGGCUGUCACUAUAAGAUGGGCCCGCGGCGCAUUAGCUAGUUGGUAGGGUAAUGGCCUACCAAGGCGACGAUGCGUAGCCGACCUGAGAGGGUGAUCGGCCACACUGGGACUGAGACACGGCCCAGACUCCUACGGGAGGCAGCAGUAGGGAAUCUUCCACAAUGGACGAAAGUCUGAUGGAGCAACGCCGCGUGAGUGAAGAAGGUUUUCGGAUCGUAAAACUCUGUUGUAAGGGAAGAACACGUACGAGAGUAACUGCUUGUACCUUGACGGUACCUUAUUAGAAAGCCACGGCUAACUACGUG